AAUCCACCUCACCCUUUGUGCACCACCGCGUGGGUGCCCUUUUGUGAUCAGACCUGAUCUCGGAGGGUGCUCGCGUUUUCACACAAACCCCCCCUUUUAAAAGUGUAGAGUGACCUCAUUUAUGCGCUAACCCGCAAUCAAUACAACUUUCAACAACGGAUCUCUUGGCUCUCGCAUCGAUGAAGAACGCAGCGAAAUGCGAUACGUAAUGUGAAUUGCAGAAUUCAGUGAAUCAUCGAAUCUUUGAACGCACCUUGCGCCCCUUGUUAUUNCNAGGGGCACACCCGUUUGAGUGUCGUGAAAAUCUCAACCUCCUUGGUUUCUUCUGGAGACCAAAGGAGGCUUGGACUUUGGAGGCAUUUGCUGGCAUCUUCUCUCUUUUGAAGGUUCAGCUCCUCUCAAAUGAAUUAGCGGGGUCCUCUUUGCCGAUCCUUGACA
rnacentral:rRNA from 1 species